rnacentral:rRNA from 1 species
AUCAGCUAGUUGGUAGGGUAAAAGCCUACCAAGGCUAUGACGGAUAGCCGGCCUGAAAGGGUGAUCGGCCACAUUGGCACUGAGAUACGGGCCAGACUCCUACGGGAGGCAGCAGUGGGGAAUAUUGGACAAUGGACGAAAGUCUGAUCCAGCAAUACCGCGUGAGGGAUGAAGGUCUUCGGAUUGUAAACGGCUAACUACGUGCCAGCAGCCGCGGUAAUACGUAGGUGGCAAGCGUUAUUCGGAAUUACUAGGCGUAAAGGACAGGUAGGUGGUUAGGUAAGUUGAGAGUGAAAUCCCCUGUAAAAUCAGGGAGGGUCUUUCAAAACUGCCUGACUUGAGUGUAGGAGGGGGAAUCGGAAUUCCUGGUGUAGCGGUGAAAUGCGUAGAUAUCAGGAGGAACACCGAUGGCGAAAGCGGAUUCCUAUCCUAUUACUGACACUGAUCUGUGAAGGCGCGGGGAGCAAACAGGAUUAGAUACCCUGGUAGUCCGCGCGGUAAACGAUGCUCACUUGGUAUGGGAGGCAUCAACUCUUUCUGUGCCGAAGCUAACGCGUUAAGUGAGCCGCCUGGGAAGUACAACCGCAAG